ACCUUAUUACUUCAAUUUUCUUUCUCAUCUGAUAGCUUUGUGAGAUCUAUUAAGGGAGGAGCUGAACAAAAGCAGAUGGGAGAAUUUGGUGAAAUCUUUGAUUGGAUAUCAAUUCUGUGGAAGCGAGGCUUUCGUCAUGAUAAUCCUCAAGUAAGGUGCAUAAUUAUGCAGUCUUUUUUGAGCAUUGAGUGGAUAAAUUAUGGCUGCGGGGUGAAAUCAGUACCUGAAAACUUUAUUCUUGGCAUACUAAUGGAGGCGCUGAAUGAUCCUGUACACCACAAAGAUUUUGGUGUGAAAGGAGUAUACACUACGAAAACAAUUGGGGGUGCUGCUUUGUUUUUGCGUCAGUAUGCUAAGUACCUAAAUGAAAGGCAGCAGGUUGUUUUCUUGAUCAAUUUGGCAUCUCUUGCUAAGCAGCAGUCAUUUGGUAGAGCUGGAUUAAUGUGCCUUGCAGAAUGCAUUACCUCAUCUGCAUGUGGAGUUGGAACUCACAGUGAAGAUGAAACAAAAGGGCCCAGUGAUGUUUUUCCUGAUAAGUCCCAAGUUGAGUCCCCUGCAGAAACUGGUGCACACGAUAAUAAAACAAACUUAUUGGAUGUUUUGAGAUUUAUCGUUGAGAGCAGCAAACAGCAUUUCAAUCCUAAUUACCGUCUUCAAGUCUGCCAGAAAUUAUUGGAGGCAGCUUCUUCGGUAGUGCAUGUUUGUGAUGUACCUCUUGAAGUACUGUUGCACUUCCUUUCAGCAUUUCCACAGGAAUUUACAGAUUACAAUGGUCCCUUAUGUGUAAGCCUAAGAGAAUGGUUUUCAGGGUGUACGAGGAGACACAGUAGUGAUAGUUGUGAUGAUAAAAUGUGUAUUUUGAGGGGUCUGCAUGACUUUCCAAAAAGGUUUAUCAAUCGUCAUUAUAUGGUUGAGACUUUUGAUGACGAAGACUUACAGGCAUGGGAAUUUCAAACAAGAAGAUGGGCACGGGUGCUUUUUCCUUAUAUAAAGGAGGAACAACAUCUGGAUCCUAUUUUCAUGUUUAUUAAACAUCAUGGUCUAAAUAUCUGCAAAGAAAACAGUCAUUUGGAGAGAUUACCUGUGAAAUUUUUGAUCUUAUUGAUGAGUUUGGUUCUGGAGAUCCAAAUAAUUCUGGAGGCAACUGCAGAAUUUGGCGUCAAAAAUAAAAACAAAUCAGAUAUUUGCUUUGCUGGGACAAUGACGCAUUCCUUUAUUUGCCAGAAGUUUGCAAAUGUUCUAUUUUCUAUCUUGGGGGUGUGCAGGAGGAGCUGGUCUCUUUUGCCAAUUUGUCUUCCUCUAUUUUCCACUUAACUCUUGCAGUGGAAGACACAACUUUACCUAAUUCUAUUAGAGGAAAACUUGGUGGUCCUAGUCAACGUCGAUUGUCGACAUCUACAACAACCGCUGUAUUGCAAGCUCAAUAAUUAACUAAAUAUUGAAGACCAAAAUCAAGUCCAAGACUACAUGAGGAAUUCGGCCACAACACCACCAUUCUUCAAGAGAUAGGACUUUUUAUUUUA